UACGUAGGGGGCUAGCGUUGCUCGGAAUUACUGGGCGUAAAGGGUGCGUAGGCGGGUCUUUAAGUCGGGGGUGAAAUCCUGGAGCUCAACUCCAGAACUGCCUUUGAUACUGAAGAUCUUGAGUUCGGGAGAGGUGAGUGGAACUGCGAGUGUAGAGGUGAAAUUCGUAGAUAUUCGCAAGAACACCAGUGGCGAAGGCGGCUCACUGGCCCGAUACUGACGCUGAGGCACGAAAGCGUGGGGAGCAAACAGG
rnacentral:rRNA from 1 species